UAUAUAUGUAUAUAUAUAUAUAUGUAUAUAUGUAUGUAUGUAUGUAUAUGUGACCUGGGUGACAAAACCCCAUUGAAUAUUCUUUCUAAUUAAAUCUACCUAUUUAAAUAUCAUUUUAUUUAAAUAUCCUUUCAAAACCCCAUUUGAAUAUUCUUUGUAAUUAAAUAUCUUUCUAUUUAAAUAUCAUUUUACUUAAAUAUCCUUUCUAUUUAAAUAACCUUUCAAAUCCCAAUUAAAUAUCCUAUUUUCGUUGUCUUAGCUGUCUCGCCUGCGUCAUUACGUCACGCGGUCACAUGACUUCGUGCGUCAUUACGUCACGCGGUCACAUGACCUCAUGCGUCAGUACGUCGCGUGGUCACGUGACCUAUCGCGGGAAACAUCAAAUCCGGUAGUGGGCUGCUUCCAGGAAGAGCUAGCUGGACACAUUGCUGCAGGAGCCAACUACUGAAGCCGUGGGUCGUCAUGCGAGAGUGUUUAAGUGUGAUUUAUCUGCGGAAUUAGACAUGUUGGAUGGCGAGGUAGACUGGUCCUGCCCUUGUUGUACAGGACAUGUUGGAUGGCGAGCUACAGUCUGAAGCUUGAUGCCUGGAACUGAACCAACCCAACUGAAUCCAUCCAACCGAGCCCCGGGCAGUGUGGGGGGAUCACUGGCAGCAUGCAGGAGUUGAAGGUGUGGGAGGAACGAGUGAAAGGCGACAGAGAGGAGAGGAUCUAUUCAUGCUGGUGACAUCCUGACAGGACACUGAGGAGCCUCUUCAUGUGGAAAAGAGCAGAAGUGUUUAUACCCGGAUUCUCUUCAUGAUGGUGAGCCAAGGGGAAAACAAGCAUCUGGUCCAAAGACUGUUCUUGGGCGACUCCAUCCAGGAACCCCAGCACCUGUUCUACCUGUAGCGUCUGGACUGGUAGGAGGCUCUCCAGCCAACGUCUACACAUGUUCACCCUUAACCGCCGCACAUGGACUUUACUGCUUUACUCUCUCCAAAACCUUUCUCCAAGAACUUUAUUAACUGAGCGGAGCCUUAAACAAGAUCCAGAGACACUAAAUACUAGAAUUAAAAUUGUAUAUAUGUAUAUAGUAAAUGUCUUUUCCUUCAAAUUGCUCUCCCGUUGAAUGGCCACCAACUCAUUGCUGUGUUUAUAUCUGCUGUCCUCCACUAAUUCUUCAAUACAUGCUGCCAACCAAACUGUAUUUAUAUCUGCUGUCCUCCACUAAUUCUUCAAUACAUGCUGCCAACCAAACUGCAAUUCGGGCUCUGCCUUCUCGCUCCGAGUCCAAACUCUAGUCUUCUGUUCCUAGCCCAUAACACCCACAUACUUUACAUUGAUUUGUAGCACGUUUAGGUCACACACACAUAAGAGAUACGUGUAGACUGCUAUAUGACUCAAGUAAACAACACCAACAUUUUAUAUGUUCCAUUGAAAAUAUAGAACAUUACACAUGGGGCUCAAAAGUCUAUCAAAAUGUUUUAGUAGGACUUUGGUAAUCUAUGAAGUCACACCACUUGAUGGAUUGUACUGUGCUUCAACGUAGGAGUAUUAUUAUGCUGUGUGUAAAACAUAUUAUCUGCUGUUUUGUUUAGCAGGAUUAUGCCAAAGCAACUUUUCUUGCCUUCUGGUACUUGCUGAUCAGUAUUUGGAAGAAGCAUAAGUCCUGAAAAUUUGCUCGCGUCCGCCUUUACAAUUCAUGCCGACGCCGUAAUCGAUAAUCUUCUUCUUUAUCUCUAUCUUCUUGUUGUGUGACAUUCAUCCUCCACUGUUGCCAUUUCUAAUAUAAAGUAAUGUAAAGUUCUUACUUAUAUCUGUCAGUAAACUCACCAUGAAAGCACUAAAACAUACCGGUGUAGUGACUUUACAUUAUUCACCCAAGGAAGUUUACUUAUUCAAGAGUUCCGGUCGGACAGUUUUUCCCGGGACACAUUUCUGGUGUUGUUGGCCAACAUAUGAAAUAACAAGUGUGUGUAUGAUAUUGAAAUGCGCCCCCUUUUGACCAAAAUUUUUUUUAAAGAAAUAUGUAUAUAGAGAAAUAUUGUAAUAAUACCUUUAAUGACGAUUAAUAACCAAUUACAAACCAAAAAUUCCAAAAUAUUUUUUCUUACUAAAAGCAGUCUUUUUCUUACAAUGUCGACUUUUUUCUCAUAAAAUUGGGAACAAUUUCUUAUUUCUGUUUCUGUAAUAUUGCAAUAUUUUCUCAUGAAUGUAUUACUUUUUAAUGUAAAAUGGUGACAUUUGUCAUAACAUUCUGACUUGUCACAAUAUUGCCAUUUUUUUUGUUGUUGUUGUAAAAUAGUGACAUUUUUUGCCAAGUAAAAUUCCGAAUUCUUAUUGUAAUAUUGCCAAAAUGUUAGUUUUCUUCAUAAAACUGUGAGUUGUUGAGUAGAAUUCCAACUUGCAUCAUAUUAUUGCACAAAUGUUCAGUUUUGUGUAAAAUUACGACUUACUAUAUAUAAUACUGCCAAAAAUAGGAUGCAGUGUGUCUCCCAUAACAAUGUGACCUCGGACUACGUUAAGGUAACGUGUGGAGUUCCCCAGGGUUCGGUCCUUGGCCCUGCACUCUUCAGCAUCUACAUGCUGCCGCUAGGUGACAUCAUACGCAAAUACGGUGUUAGCUUUCACUGUUAUGCUGAUGACACCCAACUCUACAUGCCCCUAAAGCUGACCAACACGCCGGAUUGUAGUCAGCUGGAGGCGUGUCUUAAUGAAAUUAAACAAUGGAUGUCCGCUAACUUUUUGCAACUCAACGCCCAAAAAACGGAAAUGCUGAUUAUCGGUCCUGCUAGACACCGAACUCUAUUUAAUAAUACAACUCUAACAUUUGACAACCAAACAAUUAAACAAGGCGACACGGUAAAGAAUCUGGGUGUUAUCUUCGACCCAACUCUCUCCUUUGAGGCACACAUUAAAAGCGUUACUAAAACGGCCUUCUUUCAUCUCCGUAAUAUCGCUAAAAUUCGCUCCAUUCUGUCCACCAAAGACGCUGAGAUCAUUAUCCAUGCGUUUGUUACGUCUCGCCUCGACUACUGUAACGUAUUAUUUUCGGGUCUCCCCAUGUCUAGCAUUAAAAGAUUACAGUUGGUACAAAAUGCGGCUGCUAGACUUUUGACAAGAACAAGAAAGUUUGAUCACAUUACGCCUGUACUGGCUCACCUGCACUGGCUUCCUGUGCACUUAAGAUGUGACUUUAAGGUUUUACUACUUACGUAUAAAAUACUACACGGUCUAGCUCCAUCCUAUCUUGCCGAUUGUAUUGUACCAUAUGUCCCGGCAAGAAAUCUGCGUUCAAAGGACUCCGGCUUGUUAGUGAUUCC